ensembl:lncRNA
UAUAGAAUAGCCUUCGAUACGGAAAACAACCACAGAACGGAACUUACUUUUAUCUUGGAACCUCGGCUUGGAGAAGAAAUCCGGUUUGUUUUUCAGAAUCUCGUGUAUACUGCGUUCCUUUCCACUUCACAGAUACAAGAAAAAGCACCCAAGAUUCCCUUGGUCGUUUCCACAAACAUGGGGAAUGACACUCGCAACGCACCACUAAUCUGGAACAGCUUAUUAUGGCCUGCAGUUUACCUUGCUUGAGGUGAUGUUGUACACAGUGGCUUGAUGAGAUGGACAGUUACACUUGCAGUUCCAAUGUCAGGUUUGCUGGUAUCCUUGAUUUGUCACAAUGGAC